UACGUAGGUGGCAAGCGUUGUCCGGAAUUAUUGGGCGUAAAGCGCGCGCAGGCGGUCCUUUAAGUCUGAUGUGAAAGCCCACGGCUCAACCGUGGAGGGUCAUUGGAAACUGGGGGGACUUGAGUACAGAAGAGGAAAGCGGAAUUCCACGUGUAGCGGUGAAAUGCGUAGAGAUGUGGAGGAACACCAGUGGCGAAGGCGGCUUUCUGGUCUGUAACUGACGCUGAGGCGCGAAAGCGUGGGGAGCAAACAGG
rnacentral:rRNA from 1 species